rnacentral:lncRNA from 1 species
CUAACAUGUAACCCACUGCGCGCAUAAAACAUAGCUCAGCAUCCACCCCCACUGUAAGUAAAAACGUUCGCAGCACAGGUGCUUGUUUACACGAUAAUGUUUCCAGGUGAGGACCCAAUACCGACUCAAAGCACAGAGACCCAGCUUCGGUGGGUGCGUCAAAUGCACACAACCAAAACAAGCGCGUGAUAAAAACUAAACUGAAGAAGCUUGAAAAGGACUCGGGUGUGUGAGAGUCCAUAAUCCAAGAUACUG